UUAGGGCUCUUCAGCUAUGGAAUCCAAAUUACUCUUCUGGAUGCUCGCCCAGAGCAAAGCUCUGGCUUCGAAUUCUCUGGACGGCAGCCAUGGUAGAGACAUUUGCUACUGCCAGCAUGUAAAGGAAAAACAUGGUCUCUAUCACUCAGGCAAGGACACAAAUUGAAUGUUUCUAGGAUACCUCAGCCAGGAAGGAGGUUUGUCACCAGCGUCUCCGGAUAGAGAAACCAUUCCCUCUGCUCCCCACAUGGCUAAUCUUCACUAGUGUUGCAGAAUGGAAAAGAACUUCCAGAGACUGAAGAACACUCUGGAAGAAUCAUGAAUUUGAGAACAGACUCAAUCUGCAUUUUCAAUCCCACGGGGCUCACAUGUUUCCACAUGCUCAGGAAUAGUGUCUACUGAGAUCCAAGAGUGCCUUUGGAAGCUUGGAUUUUCUAACCGAAAGCUAGGAUUUUGUAACCAUGCCAGCAAUAUGCCUGCAGACUGGCACUGUCCUUCCUGAAGCCCUAAAGAAAGUGUAAUUGUCACUCAGGAUGAUCAAGGUCUUUUCCUAAAAUCCCUCAUCAAGUAAAUAAACAGAAAUCAGUUGGUUGGUUAAGAGCACCAUCCACUCCUUGGAUGGAAGACAUCUCUGACUUUGAAUAUGAACAUCUGACAUUCCAAUCUAGACUCCUCCACAAGAGCAGUCCCAUCAUCCUAUCUUGGCUCCCAGCUCAACCCCUCUGCUGCAAGUCCUGACUCCAAACCCUGUGGGAUACUAAAAUACAAGAUCAUAGCUUGCAAAUAGAGUGUGCAUCUGCUGUGGAUUGUUGUUUUGGUUUAAUUAGGACUUGCUGUUUCCUGAAUUCCUAUAAUUUCAUUUGAUGAAUUGUGUUAGUUACUUGUUCUGCAGUCUUUGAACAUGUGGCACUUAUCAGGAGAAAUGACUCCCUUUUUCCCCUUUGU